GUUUUUAUCAUAAUAAAGAGCCAAUGCUCACUUGGGUUUUCUUUCAGAUGAUCAUUUUAGUUGUAAUACUCAGUUCAAUAUUACAUAAAA